rnacentral:lncRNA from 1 species
GGCUGUUGUAUCGAGGGUAUGGUUGCACUGUCUCCUGGUAAAUCCAUAUUUCUUUAUCCUCGAAGUCUUCUCCAAAUAGUUCUUUCAACUUUUGGAUCAAAGUCGGUAAGAAAAUCUGAAUUGCUUUCGGUCAUAAAACACCUAAGAUGAAAUUGAAAAACAGCAAUAAAGAUAAAACAAGUUAAUGAAUACUAACAAUUAUAUAAGAAAAAUAAAGUAAAAAGACACAAGAAAAAAAAUAAACAUCAAAC